GACGAACGCUGGCGGCGUGCCUAAUACAUGCAAGUCGAGCGGACGGAAGGGAGCUUGCUCCCAGACCGUCAGCGGCGGACGGGUGAGUAACACGUGGGCAACCUGCCUGUAAGACUGGGAUAACUCCGGGAAACCGGGGCUAAUACCGGAUAACUCUUUCCCUCACAUGAGGGAAAGCUGAAAGAUGGCAUCUCGCUAUCACUUACAGAUGGGCCCGCGGCGCAUUAGCUAGUUGGUGAGGUAACGGCUCACCAAGGCGACGAUGCGUAGCCGACCUGAGAGGGUGAUCGGCCACACUGGGACUGAGACACGGCCCAGACUCCUACGGGAGGCAGCAGUAGGGAAUCUUCCGCAAUGGACGAAAGUCUGACGGAGCAACGCCGCGUGAGUGAUGAAGGUUUUCGGAUCGUAAAACUCUGUUGUCAGGGAAGAACAAGUACCGGAGUAACUGCCGGUACCUUGACGGUACCUGACCAGAAAGCCACGGCUAACUACGU
rnacentral:rRNA from 1 species